rnacentral:rRNA from 1 species
GAUACUGGCUCAGGACGAACGCUGGCGGCGUGCUUAACACAUGCAAGUCGAACGAAGAGCGAUGGAAGCUUGCUUCUAUCAAUCUUAGUGGCGAACGGGUGAGUAACGCGUAAUCAACCUGCCCUUCAGAGGGGGACAACAGUUGGAAACGACUGCUAAUACCGCAUACGAUCCAACCUCGGCAUCGAGGAUGGAUGAAAGGUGGCCUUCUAUUUAUAAGCUAUAACUGAAGGAGGGGUA